GUUCAGCGACAAUGGUAGGAGGUAGAAGAUGCCAGGCCUGCCAGUAUUGUCCGUGUCGAGCCAUCGCUGUCCAUCGCGUGUGCCCACUGCACGUCUGGCAUCUUCCGCUUCCGACCUUUGAUGCGAGAC